AUGGUGACAGAGCCACACUUUGUUGGACAGUUUGGCAGAGAUAGUAGCUGCUGAGUUGCUGCUUUUACCAAAAAGACUGUAAUAACCACCAUCAGCAGCUGUUUUGAGUACACAACCAUGGGCAUGACUUCCCUAAUUUUUCAGGUACAUGAUAAUACUUAUACAAAUAUUUGGAUUUUUUAGUAUUUAUUUCUUCUCCUUGUAAUGCUAUUUAAAAGAAGAAAAGUCAAAAUGAUUGAUUCUUCUUAUAUGCAAUGGAUUGACAAAAUCAAACACAGUUUUGUCUAAUAUUUGUUAUAAUUUAUAAAAAGAAACUGUUGACUUGUCAUGAUUUCAAAUGUGAAUGCAUAAUAAUAUAUUGUAUUUUAAAUGAUCUAAUCCUUAUGGUCAUGAUAAUAAUACAGUAACCUUUCUGUUGUUGAUAAAGUCUUUGUUUUAGCUUACAUACAUGUGUACACAUUUCUUUUUUACAAUUACAGUAUAUUUCAUGUAUACAUGUGUCUAAUAGGGUGUACAACAUUGUCUAAUUUAUUUAUUUAUUUAAACAUAUAACUAUUCUUACAGAUGUAUGAUGUAUCUGUUGAAUGGUUUAUUAAUAAUAAUAAUAAUAAUAUAUUCACGGUUGGCUUUAAUUUUGACUCAUCUUUAUGCUAUACAGAUUAAUUUCAAAAUUUAUAAAUAUGAUUUAUAUUAUAGUUAUUUUCAAUUCAACAGUAAUGUGAACAAAUAAAAAGAAGUUUCAAUUCGACGGUUUCGGGUUACAUUGGUGUAACAUUUUCGUUGGCAUUUAUAUUUUGAAAUGGAACGUUUAGUUAGUCUUACACUACUCAACAAUUUAUAUAUUUAAGAAGUAUAAGUAUUAUAAUUAAUUAAUAAAACACUUAAAGAAGUUAAUUUUGUCGUAUUUCAAUGACAUAUAAAAAAUAUUCAUAUAUUUAUAAGAACUUAUAUAGAGACGAAAAUGUUAAGUCAGUGCAAUUUUAUCCCUACACAUGAAAAGAAAGUUUUGAAGAGUAAAAAAUCAAAUUGUGACACAUCUAAACACAAAGGCAUUUUAGUAACAUGUGGUAUCAGAGUGAAGUCUAUGCAAGGUUUAUGCUAUGAGUUUGGAAAAUUAUUGCCACCAUUUUCAACACUGAUAACCGAUGUUGCUGCUCUGAACAAGUUAUCAGUCUCUUCUGAACACAAAUUGCCACUUCCCCAAGGAUGCUCUUCAAAAACUAAUAUUGCCUCUAAUUCCAUUGCCACUUCUUUCAUGGUUGGUCUUUUCUCACCCUUCACUCUUAAACAUCUUUCUGCAAUAUGGGCAACUUCCUUUAGUUGCUCAUUAUUCGCCUCAUCUAUAUUUCUGUCCAAAAUAUGAUGUAAUCGACCCUCUUUCAUCGAAGAAACAAAAUACACUGCAAGGUUUCUAUCUAGCUCCGGCCUGCUAAAAGAUAGUGCUUUCUUUCCUGUCAGUAGCUCUGCUAGUACAACCCCAAAGCUAUNNNNNNNNNNNNNNNNNNNNNNNNNNNNNNNNNNNNNNNNNNNNNNNNNGGUACCCCCAUGUCCCCUGCACUAGGGUUUUUAUUUGACUAUGAUCAAGAGGAACAAUCCUAGAAGCUCCGAAAUCAGAAACCUUUGCGGUGAGAUUGUCAUCUAGGAGUAUAUUUGUAGAUUUCACAUCUCUGUGUAUGAUUGGUGAAGAUGCUGCGGAAUGCAAGUAUGCCAAGACUCCAGCAGUUUCUUUUGCUAUUCUCAAUCUUGUUUUCCAUGUGAGCUUUAAAGAUUGAUUUUGAUCAUGAAGAUGCUCAUGAACAGUUCCAUUGGAAAUGAAUUCAUACACAAGCAAGGGAACUUCUGUCUCUAAACAACAACCCAAGAGCUUUACCACAUUUCUAUGGUUGAUUUGGGAAAGCACGAUCACUUCAUUGAUGAACGGCUCAAUCUGUUUUGGAUCACUGAUUUUGGACUUCUUUAUUGCUACAAUUCUUUUAUCUUGUAAAACUCCUUUGUAUACUGUUCCCUGACCACCUUGGCCUAGGAUCUUGCCUUCGUUGAAGUUGUCGGUUGCUUCAUUUAGUUCCUCAACAGUGAAGACUUUAGCUGUUUCAUUGGACCCUCCAUGUCUCACUAGUUGUUGUUGUAACAGUAAGCCGCCGUUUUGUUGAAAGAAUUGUUCUUUAAGUUUAAUGUGCUUUCUUUUCUUCAUUGCCAAAUAUGCAUAAAAGCUUCCAACCAGUAGUGUUACGAGGCUUAUGCUGACACCUGAACAUAAAUAAAUGGAAACAUUAUAUUUUUGUUUCUGCCCUGCCUAUCUUAUUGAUGUUUCAAGUCAAUUUAUGGUAUAAUGACAUUAGUCAAAAUCUCAAAAUGCCACUGUUCUGGUCUUGAAUGAAUACCUUGGGUAUGUGAACUUCAAUUUAUAACAUGGAUUAAUAAUGUUGAUUUCAAUAGAAACACCUUUCAGGUUUUAACAAUUUUCCGUGAUAAUAAAUUUGUUGUACUUACUCAAUGCAAUAAUCAAUAUGAUCUCUUUCCUUGAUUUGGUACUUGAUUUUGAGCUGCAUUUUGUUCCAUUCAUCUUCCCAUUUCCCUCGUAUCCAACCGGACAUAAACACUGGUAGCUUCCUGGAAGAUUGAUGCAUGUUGCCCCCUCAACACAGUCAUUGGACUCCGUGCAUUCAUUAAUAUCUAAAAGAUAAUAUGUCAGUUUCAAUUUCUGUUUUCACAAUGGACAAUUUUGUUACAUAAUAUAUAAAUAAUAUAUUAUAUUAAGGGUAGUUUAGUCUUUUAUACUCUAGUAUUUAUACCUUUCUAUUGUUUUGUACUCUAAGACUUUUUGGUUGUUCCUAAUGAAACCCUAGCCACUUUAUGCUUUCUCUUUCUAUGGAUCCUCAACAUUAACAUGGUAUCAGAGCCGGGUUAAGGAUUGCAAUGUGGGCAUUUGACCCAAGACCACGCUAGGCAUGAGGGUGGGUGUUGAAUGUGUUGUUGGAGAUUGUUUGAAGUCCCACAUUGCUUAGGUUCCCGGGAUGUGAAGUGUAUAAAUAUGUGAGGGCAACCUCACCCUUUGAGCUAGCUUUUGGGGAUGAGAUCCAAGCAUAUUUAACAAAUUUCACGAGAAAUAAAGCAAAAAUGAAUCCACAGUGAGUAAAAGAACAAGAUCAAAGCCAAUACCAUAGCGUUCCGUUAUCCUUUGCAUAUAUCCUAUUAGAUAUUUAGUUGAAUUUUUUUCCAUGUUCAUGCAAUAUGGAAGGACACAUUGCAAAUAAAGACACAUAUGCUAAUUGCUUGAAUAGCGUGCAGGUCAAUGUGUUAUACUGAAAUAUGGUUUCUCUUGUUUCAUAAUAGUAGGAUAUUCUAAUGAACCGGAGUAUAAAGGAUGCUCUUGUUGCCGAAAAAAAUAAUUUUUGCGGUUGUCCUGUAAGAAAAAUCCUGUGCACAGUUGUAUUCAAUCUUUUGACUUAUACGUACUCGAUACAUAUAUUUAUCCAUUUGUUAUUCAUAUAGGUAUACAGCAGUCUAGCAGAUAGUUGUGGUAUGCCUCAACUUGUAAAGAAGUUAAACAAGGUUAAAAUUUUAUGUCAUUUAACCGUAUCGUUAGAAUUUUACCUACUCUUUAUGUCAUAUGCUUAAAGUAGACGUGGAAAAAGUCUAAACAAUAAUUAAGAUAUUAGCUCAUUUGUAAUUGAUUAGAAGAAAUCAGCUAGCCUAUUUUCUUCGUUAGAAGUAGGCGUCUAACUUGCCAACAUGUAUUUGUUCAAUAAAAAUACAAACUUCCCAUUAUCGCAUUUCAGGGAUGGAAAUGGGUGGUUUCUUUUCAAAUAACUUUAUUAAAGAAGUUACAGAAAACAAAAAUUAAAGAGAGAAAAUUAAAUUCCCAUCCCAAACAGACCCUAAAAUGACAAAAAUACAAAACCAAAUUCAACUUGUGAUCAUAAGACUCACAAUUUAAAAGUCACAUAAUUGUUUCUAUCUUUCUACAUGACACAUAUAGUUGUCCAUUUGAGUUUGACACGGACUUGGGAUCCUCUACGGCUGCAGUUGUAGAGACUGUUAGAUAUAGAGUUUUCUCUCUAAAUCUAACGUUCCCUACAACUGCAGUACUAUAUUGCAGCUGUAUAGCAUCCAAACACGUUUGACCCCCAAAAAUUGUCCUUUUCGUAUACUAAACCAAUCGAUAUUUCAUUAAAACCUUUGACAGUAAUACUAUAUAUGGAUAAUAUAAUGUAUGGAUCAUGUAAGCAUACUAUGUAUGUCCCUCUAGAAGCAUCAUAAAAAUGUCUUAAAAAUCUAAUCCAAACAAGAGAUAAGAAAUAUAGAAUACCUUGGCAACCAUGAAUCAGGUAAGGAUUUCCCCAAUAUCCAUUGAAGCAUCUGCAAAGGUAACCAGAUCUCUCGGUUGCAUCGUAACAUGUACUUUUGUUGUCCUUACAGGCAUAAUUUGAAAGAUCCUUUUGAGCUUGCUGGCACGUUUGGUUCCCUACUGCCCAAUCCAACAACACCGGAAACUCCUCCUUCUCCAACUUGAGGAGGUCUGUGGAUGUGAAACUGUAGGCUCCAUUUUCAACCAAAAAAGCAUAACC
rnacentral:lncRNA from 1 species